GAUGAACGCUGGCGGCGUGCCUAAUACAUGCAAGUCGAGCGAACAGACGAGGAGCUUGCUCCUCUGACGUUAGCGGCGGACGGGUGAGUAACACGUGGAUAACCUACCUAUAAGACUGGGAUAACUUCGGGAAACCGGAGCUAAUACCGGAUAAUAUAUUGAACCGCAUGGUUCAAUAGUGAAAGACGGUUUUGCUGUCACUUAUAGAUGGAUCCGCGCCGCAUUAGCUAGUUGGUAAGGUAACGGCUUACCAAGGCAACGAUGCGUAGCCGACCUGAGAGGGUGAUCGGCCACACUGGAACUGAGACACGGUCCAGACUCCUACGGGAGGCAGCAGUAGGGAAUCUUCCGCAAUGGGCGAAAGCCUGGCGGAGCAACGCCGCGUGAGUGAUGAAGGUCUUCGGAUCGUAAAACUCUGUUAUUAGGGAAGAACAAAUGUGUAAGUAACUAUGCACGUCUUGACGGUACCUAAGCAGAAAGCCACGGCUAACUACGU
rnacentral:rRNA from 1 species